UACGGGGGGGGCAAGCGUUGUUCGGAAUUACUGGGCGUAAAGCGCGCGCAGGCGGCCUCCCGCGCCCGACGUGAAAGCCCCCGGCUUAACCGGGGAGGGUCGUUGGGGACGGCGGGGCUUGAGGGCGGGAGAGGUCGGUGGAAUUCCCGGUGUAGUGGUGAAAUGCGUAGAGAUCGGGAGGAACACCUGUGGCGAAGGCGGCCGACUGGGCCGACCCUGACGCUGAGGCGCGAAGGCGUGGGGAGCGAACGGG
rnacentral:rRNA from 1 species